rnacentral:rRNA from 1 species
AUUGAACGCUGGCGGAAUGCUUUACACAUGCAAGUCGAGCGGCAGCGCGGGGGCAACCCUGGCGGCGAGCGGCGAACGGGUGAGUAACAUAUCGGAACGUACCCCGUCGUGGGGGAUAACACAGCGAAAGCUGUGCUAAUACCGCAUACGACCUGAGGGUGAAAGCGGGGGACCGUAAGGCCUCGCGCGAUGGGAGCGGCCGAUAUCGGAUUAGCUUGUUGGUGAGGUAAAGGCUCACCAAGGCGACGAUCCGUAGCUGGUCUGAGAGGACGACCAGCCACACUGGAACUGAGACACGGUCCAGACUCCUACGGGAGGCAGCAGUGGGGAAUUUUGGACAAUGGGGGCAACCCUGAUCCAGCCAUUCCGCGUGAGUGAAGAAGGCCUUCGGGUUGUAAAGCUCUUUCAGCAGGAACGAAACGGUGGCCCCUAAUACGGCUGCUAAUGACGGUACCGUGAAGAAGAAGCACCGGCUAACUACGUGCCAGCAGCCGCGGU